GCCGGUGUGGUGUAGUGGUUUGCACAGUCUAGGACUCUGGAAGACCAGGGUUCAAAUCCUGGCUCAGCCA